GGCAGGUCCAGGGGUGGGUGCAGUGAAGCAGGGGGGCCUUAGAAGCGACAGCUAGUGUCACACAGCUGCAGGAGGCACACGGCUCCCAGGGGAAGCCUUAGAAGGAAUAAGUGUCAUACAAGUUUAGUAUUUGCUCCUAUCGUGUAUGCACAAACGCCCGCAGCUCGUACUGGAAGCGGUAGUUUGUGUGGGGGAGCGAACAGCCACUUCAGUCCAGCUGCGUUGGAAGGCUCCGAGCUGCCAGGCGGCCAGAGAGGGACGGCGGCAGUAAAGCAGCAGCUCUGCAUUUCCGUCCACGCGCUUGGUACCGAGCGGGACGCUCGCUGUGUUUGGGACCGAGGGUGGCGACUUCCUGUCUGUGAUCUCCGGACCGCGAGGAAAGCCUGUCAGCCUGCUGGAGUGGCUCUUUCCCUUGGGAGCAAGCCUUUUGCUGAGGAGGAAGGAGACCCUUUUCUCCUGCCUGCCCCGCUGGGAGAGCAGGCCCCUGGCUCACGAGGCUUCUUUCUCCCAUGAGCACAGGUGGAACGAUUCCUUUUUUCCCGGUUCUGCUUGAAGGAGUUAGUUAGUCGGAUGACAGGAUUCAGAGGUUUUACCCACGGUCGGUGUCUGAGCUGUGGCUAAAAUGGUCUAAGUGGGCGGAGAGGAUGCCACAGGGAGAGGCGCCCUGGCCCGGAGCGAGGCUGUGGAGUAGCUCACUGGACGGGGAACAGCAACAGCGGGGCUCAGGGAUUAGUAAGUGCAGGGCGCUGACCACAGCCAGAUGAUGCUUGAGGCUGGGGACACAGCAGUGCCCAAAGCAGACCGAGUCGCGGGCCUCCGUGGACUGCGUCUUCUGUGGGAAGAGACACACGAGCCACGUAGGUGAUGAUAAUGAGACACACCAGGGAGAGAUGAAGCGGGAAGGGGCGGGAGUGUGGAUGCACCGGUCAGGGACAGUGUCCCCGUGGGACUUGAGGGAGUCGGCCCUGGAGGUGGCCUUGGGACCGCGCGGCCCAGGCGCCGAGGCAGGAGCCCGCUGGUGUCCCCGGGGGACCGCAGGAGGCCGAGACGGGGAGGCCGCCCAGAUGGCUGCAAGCUCGCCGUGGUGCAGGCUCACUGGCUGUCCCCCUGCUGAGCCGGGCUCCGCAAAGGGCUGUGAUGCUCUGGCUUUGGCUUUAAAACGUUAAAGUCAUGUGGAGAACAGUCAAGGAGACAAAGGCCGAGGACGCUGGCAAGGAGGCUGUGGCAAUGGCCCAGGUGUGAGAUGGUCAAACCGGGAGGUGGUGCUGAUAAGUGGUCGCUCUCCGGACGUAUUUGGGCUGAAUGUGGGCCGGGCCGGCCAGGACCAGCUCGAGAGGGUGGGUGGUGAGAAAUUCAGGAGCUCUGGCCCCAGAGGUUAAGCAUCAGGGCUUGAAUUCGUCCCGGGUGGGAGUAUUUACGCCACGGAAACGAGCAAACCCACAAAUCCAGGCGCUUUCCUCUCGGAGGGUGGGGCUCUUGGUCCGUCGUGGCGUGAGAGGGCAGGUGGCCGCCCAGGACCGCAGUCACCAGAGGGGUGAGGCCGCAGAGCCCACGGGUGCGGGGCUCAGAGGAUGCGGGUAGCUCGUCACGGGAUAAGCGCCCUUCCGUUCAGGUCGAUGCCACCCUUUCUCGUCCGGGAUGAAGAGCCAGCCCCGGUGCUGGGCCCGCUUGCCCUCUCCUUGACGCGCCAGCGAGAGCCGGACCGUAGUUCUCCCAGCAGGGCAGCCGGUGCAGCCGGCCCACGGGGGCAUCUCUACCAGCGCCCCCCCCCGCGCACAUUCUCACCCGCCUCUCGCCCUCCUCCAUCUGACCCCGUCCUCCCGAGGGCACCAGUGCAUCUAACGCUCCGCUCCCCGGCAUUGCAGAGAAUACCGCCCCGUGCCCCGCACAGCCCAGAGGGAGCGGUUUUGGCGCUGUCUGUGAUUUGACUCGGACGCAUCUGGUUUUCUCGGUUCACCCUCUUUGUCACCGUGACGCCAAGGUUAAGUUCUCGUCAGGCUGUACGGGCGAGCAGGCUUCAGCGUCCAGGACAGCCCCGCUGCCCGGUCGCACGGGCAGGGCUGCAGCAACUCGGCGCGCGCAACCUCCCUGUGGAGCUGACAGAAACACACUGGAAAUUCUACAAGAGCCGACUUUUCCGUGAAGUGUCCAGAACUUUCACCUGCUAGGCAGUCUGGCGCCAUCCAUGGGGCCUUUCCAGCCCGAGCAGGAGCUCAGAGGUGCAGAUCUGCAGGGAGGCGGCCAGGCCAGGAGCCGUGGGGUCCAGGCGCUGACCCCGUCUGGCCUUGACUCACUCGUGGACAGAAAAACCGUCUGAGGAUUUUGUGGGGAUCGGGUACUGUGGGCCCGUGAGCUGCCUUUUCGGGGAGCCCUGGCUGCUGGUCCUCCUCCCUCGAGGAGUGUUUGGGGAGGUGUGGGCACACUCUUGAUUUUCCUGAUGCUGGGAGAGUGUUACUGCCAUUAGGGGGUGGGCCGGGGUGGGGACACGGGGCCCUGCCCGCUGCUCCUUCAGCAGGGGCCCAGGCCCCCGCAGAGGGCGCAGGAGUGGGACCCUGUGCACCGGCGCGGCGACAACUCUGCAGCGAGGGAUGAGGACUGAAGGGUCCUGGCGCCUCCCCUGGUCUCUCGGGGGGAGGGGGGCUGUGCUUGGAUCUCUGGGUGGUCAUGGUCGGGCGGCUUAACCCCUCGGGCCUCCAUGACGGCUGCACAGCCAAGAGGUCGACACACGCUCCCGAGGCCCAGCCUGUUGGGGCUUCUGAGUGGAUGCAGGACGGAGGGCCAAGAAUCCUCUUGGUGGGGCGGGAGGUGGGGCAGCUGCGGGUUCUUGCGGAGCCGACUCCAGGGACUCUCGAGGGAGCCGGGGGCCGGGCAGCUGUGCCCUUGGUCCGGGGGACUGGCCCUCCGUGGGGUGGACGGCAGCCCCAGCGUUUGCGGGCAGGGAUUCCAGCUCGUCUGAGUGGACACUUGGGCCCCGGGAGGAAAUCUGCUCGAGCGUCUCGGGGGCCUGGGCUCUGCCGUGGCCUCCGAUGGUUCACGGGAGCGCUGAGCACGCUGAGCCCCGGCCGUCUCUGAGCUGCCCUGGGAGCCCUUCUGCCUGGCGUGCACCCGGGGUGAUGGUUUGCUCUGUGUCAGCGUGACUGGGCCCUGGGGCCCCAGGUACCCGGUCAAACCCUGUUCUGAGUGUUCCUGGGGGUGUGUGUGUUUGGAGAGGUUAACAUUUGAAUCCUUUGAGUAAGCAGAUGGCUCUUCCCGAGGGUGGACCUCGUCAAUCAGUAGAAAGAAUAGAACAGAGGGCCGGCCUCCCCCGAGCAAGAGAAAAUUCUCCUGCCUGGUGGCCUUUGGGUGUGGGGGGGUCUUCCCUUUCUUGUUCCCCAUUGGUUUCGGCCUGUGGACUUGCACUGGGACAUCAGCUGCCUGCUCUGCAGGUUUGGGACUCGCCAGCGACUGUAGUCACAUGAGCCAAUUGCUUAUAAUUAAUCUCUCUCGUUGUUAAUAUAUAUUAGUACCAGCAUCGACAUUGAUACAUGUAUUGAUACGUAGAGCAGAUGUAGGUGCAGACAGCCUCCUGGCUCGGUCUCCUCGAAUUCCCUGACGGAUACAGUGUUCCGCUAUCUCGCACGCGGGGGCCCCUUAGAGGGUGGGAGGCCGAUGUGUGAAGUCCGUGGAGCCCUCAGCCCGGAAUGGCAGAAGCUGUUUUCAGGGCUUCACAGAGGGAGUGAACUGCCAGCAGAAUAGAGUAACCGCCCCGGCAGUGCUGUGAGCGGCUGCAGGUGCCGUGCGCGGUCCACAGGGCCAAGUCCCCCUCCUCCCCGCGACAGGGGCGCGAUGAAGGCCACACCCCUCGGGUCGCCUUCCCUUGCUCGACAGAGAGGUCCUGGGUGGGGGGCAUGCAGGUUCAUCUGUGUGUGCAGGCUCGGGGCUUUUGAAAGAAAGAUUCUGGAAAAAUAUUUCGUGUUAUUGCCACUAUCAUUACUGAGUUUAAUUCCUUCUGUAUUUAAAGAAAAGAGGGCAUAGGAUUCAAUGAUGUACAUGUUUUUGGCAAAAGCACUUAAAACUUCCCCCUUAAAUUGAAACUAGCUUUCAAACUUCUCAGGUCAGAAUAUAAUUACUCUGGACAAAACCCCACUUGCUCUGCCUGACCCACCACCUCUUGAGUUAAGCCCGGCGAAUCUGGAGGUCGAUGCAGCUGCAGGAAAGGUCACCUGGAGCCGCUGGCCCCUUGCACUUAUGCAGAACCUGUCAUGCAGCCGGUAGCGAAGCUGCCUGCAGCCCGCGCACACGUAGAUCCCCCCACCCCAGUCAACGGCAGCGUCUCUCAGGCACCGCGUGACCAGAACACCACCCCACAGUCUCCUGGUUGAGAGAGGACAGGGAAGACUGUUUUCUCCAUUUCGAACUGAGAAGGUUUUUCCUCACAGCCAUCAAUUCUCUGAUUCUCUGACACCAGCUGGGCCAACAACUCAGUUCUGAUGCCAAUUCCUGUAGCGCGAGCAGACCCCACGGGUAGGGGCUCAGUCCCACCAGAGCCCCCAGUGCAGACACAGGUUCAAAGGUGGCGCCCAGGCCCCCUCACUUCUGCCUGGACGACUUCAGAUUUGGUGUUUCUGGCCACACUUGCCUCCUGAAAUUGCCCAGGGCCUCACCAGAGUCACCUCAUUAGCAUACAUUUAGCUUUGCUCCAAAGGGCCUUGUUAUGAAUAACGAAAGACGCUCCCAUCACUCAGGAAAUUCCAAGGGUUUUCAGAGCUCUGUGCCAGGAGCCUGGCAGGAGACCAGAUGUGUGUUUCCUAUUAUACACCCAAACGAAGGCCGUUUCCCUUGCCCAGCACUGGUCACGACAGAAUGAGGCCAGAGCCCUGGGGUGAGCAGGUCACUGCUCAGGGGAGGGGCUCUGGGGGGCCGUAAAUGGCUUCCUCACGUUUUCUCGUCCCGCAGAACGUAAGCUCUGUAUCUGCACUGACCAAUAAGAUUUCUGUGAAGAUGAAGUGUUCCUGUACGGCAGCCACUGACCACGUGUGGUCACUGAGCACUGGACGUGUGGCUGGUGCACUACGAUGUUAUUAUUUAUUAGGAUGACCGAUUUAUUUAAUUCCAAUCAGUUCAAGCCCCUGUAGCUCGUGGAUGUGUUAUAAAGCUCUACACACAGACCCUCUGGAAAUGACCAGAGACCUCACGGGGAGGGGACGGCUCCCCUGGGUCAGGACCAGCUCCAUGCCCCUCAUCUCUUACCUCCCUCCCUGGAACUGUAACCCAAAGUGAAGAGAUGCUGGCAUCCCUGGGCGUGCUAAGUGUUGGACCCAUCCAUCCACCCAUCCAUUUAUCCAUCCAUCCAUUUAUCCAUCCAUCCAUUUAUCCACCCAUCCAUUUAUCCAUCCAUCCAUCCAUUUAUCCACCCAUCCAUUUAUCCAUCCAUCCAUUUAUCCAUCCACCCAUUUAUCCACCCAUCCAUUUAUCCAUCCAUCCAUUUAUCCACCCAUCCAUUUAUCCACCCAUCCAUUUAUCCAUCCAUUCAUUUAUCCAUCCAUCCAUUUAUCCAUCCAUCCAUCCAUCCACCCAUCCAUCCAUCUUUGAUAUAUGGAUGGGUAAAUGGAUGGAUGGAUAAAUGGAUCCAUCUUUCAAAUAUUUCUUGAGCAUAUUCAACACUUGGUCACAUUCAGCACUUUUCCAGGUACGUGAAGAUUUUUAUUUAGAGUCACCAGCAAUUCUUGGUAUAGAUACAGAAUCAGAUUUUGUAUGAGAGCAGAGUUAAUUACUAACAUUAUGUGUACAAGUUCUCCUCCCCAAAGAGAUGCCAAUGGAGAGGGUGAGUCCAAGUGGGUGGAGGUAGGCGAGAAACAGGGUGAAGUGAUGACUCCAAGUGUUAAAUGUGUGAAGGGCCCUCCCUGAGCGAGGUGGCGGCUGCCUCCAGCGUGGAGUCCUGUACCUGCAGCCUGAGUAAUGAGGUUCUCUCUCCACAGAGGAAUGGGUGACUCUUGCCAAAGAGAGUGUGUCGGUGACGGAGGGCAGAUUUAAGGAGCCGAGUUGCUUCCCCCAAGUGGAAGCGUGGGUUAGAAGAGGCCGAGCAGGGGCCCUGGCGUGGAGUUCAGGAGGUGGACUGAGAUGGAAACCUCAGAGCAGUGAACACGGAGACAGAAGAAGCCGUCAGACAGAGUUGGGCCACAGCACCAAGUGAGGCGACAGGCAGCCCUGGCCGGGGUCCCCUCCCGUCGGAGGUGUUUCUCCAGGGAGGAGCGGCUCAGAGGUCAGAAGGAGGCGGGCCAGGUCUGGGAGGGCUGGGGGAGCAUUGCCCAGGGACUGUAUGGAGUAGGCACUUGCUGUGAGCCUGAGCCGGCUCCCCCCUGCCUGGCCGGGAACGGGGCCUUGUGGGGCGGGAACAGCUCUUCCCAGGAGGAGAGAAGCCGGAUGCAAGUGUAGCUGCACAUUUUGUUCUGUGUGGUGGCCAGCGCUGGCCCAGGUCUAAAUGCGUCGCGAGAAGGUGCUGGGUCAGGGCCCUUUGUGGGCGUCUUACUCUGUUCCUGCUGCUGCAGCAAGUUAGCGCAGACGGGGGUCUUGUAGACAGCAGAAACUUAUCGCUCGCAGCCUGGAGGCUGGACAUCCAUGGAUAGAUAUUACAUCUAAUGUACUAAAUACAUACACAGAGAUAUUUGUAAGUAUAUAUAAAAAAUAUAUAUAACAUUUGGAAUGGAAUACAUAUAUAUCUCCAAGCAAAAUGCACUUCUCUCUGUAUAAGAAAAAGAGUUGGGUGUAUGGGUGACUCUGCAACUCUGCACGCUGCCUGGAAAGGGUUUGUCUGGAGUGGAAUUCAUGGAUCCUUACAUUUGCAUAAAUUUUUUUGGUCUGAUUUUUUCUAAACCUUUACAAGUUUACAUAAGUAUUUUGAUCUAACUACCUUGAAGUCCCACUGUCAUCAGAAUGCCUGCAGUCCCAGCACCCCAUCCCAGGCCCCGAGGUAACUCCCCUCAGGCUGGGGAGCCCUCCUGUCCCUCCACCGCGUGCAGGCAGAGCUGGGGUGCGGAAGUGGGGGCAGGACGCAUCAGGCCUCGGGGCUGCGACCCCAGCAAGAGGGCUGGGCUUCAGUGCCCAGAUCUGGACGGAUGGCAAGGGCAGGGGCGGGGAGCCUGUGCGCGAGAGGUUGGGGUUUGGACCCACAGGCAGGUGGCGGCAGGUGUGCAGCUGAGCUCCCGGCUGGUGCUGGGCCCCAGCUCCUGGGAAACAGAUGGCCACAGGGAGGGGUCUCCGGGGGAGGAGGGGUCUGCAAGGGCAGAGGCUCAGUCUCUCCUGGGGGCCAGGUUCUCAGCCUCUGAUUCCUGACUUUCACAAUCAUGCUUCUUUUCUCACACGAAGGCUUUUCAAGUUGAUUUCCAUCCAAGAGGGAAUGAAGGCAAUUAAUGGUAAUUUAGCAAAAUGUUUAACUUCACGAGUGGGAGUGGGGUUUUCACGCUGGGGCUCCUGCUGGUUUCGGGGGUGGACUUCUGCCUGUCUGCACACACGCGCUUCUGGCCAGCCCACAGGUGCCUGCAGGACGAAACUUGUGCCUCGUUGAUAUUAACUGGGGGAGAAUGCCUGGCUCCUCAAGGAAUGUUUACUUGGGGGUCGGCUUGACUCUUUUUCCAGCAAACGGGGAAAUGGGGGAUGUGGGGUGGCCCAGGCAGCUGAGGUCGGGGACUCCUGAGGCUGCGGUCCAGGCCCUCUGCCAGCACAGGGUGGGGCUGCUUCCCGCUCCCAGGGAACCCAGGCCAGCGCUUUGUCAGCACCUGGUGGGGAAGAGCCAUUGAUUCGGCUCUGCCUCUGUGGGUGGCCUGUCCCACAGGGUCCUGUCCCAUCCACGGCCAAAGCCGAUGUGAGUAAAACACGCCAGCGUGGCUGUAGCAGAGGAGGCCAGGCGGCCUCUGGGGUCCCCGCCACAGCGUGGGACCAUGGCUUCCCGGGGUGGAGGUGGCCCCCUUCCCCGGCAUGGGGGCCUUGCCCUGGGCCUGGCCUGGACCUGCGCUUCUGGGAAGGGCCCUGUGAGGCCCGAGCAUUGACCGGCAGGGGAGCAUGAGGGCCAGGAGCCCCUUCCCCCGACAUGCUCGCUGUGGCUGGAAAUUCCUCUGGGGAAGAAUCCUUUCCAAGGAGCCCCGUUUGGAGCCCUCAGGCUUCCUCUGGUAACUGAUGAGACAUUGGUUACCGGAUCUGCCCCUCAGGGUUUGGAGUGUUCAUGAAAAGGUUUUAUUCUCAACCUUAAAAUUAUAAAACAGUCGCUAAUUUUGUUUCAGGAAGCUUAUGACUUUGAAGGAUGAAGAGUCUUUUCUAAGAGACGUGUGUCUGUGUGAUCUGAGCACGUUGUGAUCUUUCUGGACCUGAGAUCACACUUCUGUAAGGAAGUAGCCGUCCCAGAUCCCUGCUUAGAUAAACCGGGCCCUGCAGGAGAGAGGCUGACGGAGGGCCGCACAGAGUAUAAACGGCGGGGAUCAGGUGCUCUGAGAGCUUCGCUGACGAGGGUCGGGAGCCUGGAAAGAUGAGCAGCAAAGAAAACAAACAGAAAAAGCUCUGCUCUGGCUGGGCAGGAUUCACGCCUCCCCUCUGCGCUCGGUCUGUGUGGCCUCAGGGCAGGGCUGCACCUCUCUGAUCCUGAUGUCCAGGGCUGGCGGCUCAGGGUUGUCAGGGGGCUCAGAGCAGUUAUGAGGGUGUCGGGCUCACGGAAGGGGCCCCUACUUUUGCUAACGAGGUUUUCACCAGCCACAUCCUGGUUCGCAGCAGUUUGGGUGACCCUUCCCUUAAUGCAGGCUCAGUCCCGGCUCCGGAUCCGGAAGCGGAUCCUGGAAGGCAGUGGAGGGCAGUCUGGCUCGCAGGUCAGGGGGGACCACGGCCAUGGUCCUCAGUCCCAGGAGAAGCCCGUGACUGCACAACACUGUGAGAAACAAACAACCUGCUUCUUUUCUAUUGGCUCUGAAGUCUGUGUGGAUUUCGACAAAAGCACUAAAUUUGAAAAAAAAAAAAAGAGGCACAUUAUAUAUUUUCAGGGUUUCAAUGAUUUACGCAUUUUUUUUUAAAGGAUUUGAAAAAGGUUCUAUUUUAAGGUGACCUUGGUUGGCUUCAUCGUCUCAAAUGUUUCUGGUCUGAACGCAGCUUGAAAAACACAGCAUAGUCUGUAAAGCCUUCGGUGCCUGUUAGUCACCCCCCACCAACCUGGCCCGGAGCCCAGGACCCUGCAUCUCCCUCCCCUUGGCCUCCACAGCCGGCCUGGAGCUGCUGAGAAGUAUUUGAAGUUGCCUAGGUUACAGCUCCCAUACGACAGGACCGUUACAACAAGGGUAAAGAAGAAGCCAGAGGAUGGGAAGGAGGCCAUCGCCAUAACCGGAGGCACUUGCUGCUCUAAAGCCUGAACUCAACUUUGAAGCCGCCGGCAACCGGGGUAGAGAGAGAGAAAGUAACUGAAACACUGUGAGUCACGUGCUUUCCAACGUAUCAGGAAUAAAUACAAGGAGGCCAGUUUGAAUCUGGACUCGCGUCCUCUCAGCUCUGAGAGCAAUAGGCCACGCGUGUCUCUAUAUAGAGCAUGUUGAUCACGUCCCGUGUGAGUCUUCAUGGAGAUGAUACAGUGUUUCAGGGACUUUAUUCUUCAUAUAUCACUCUCUUACAUUUUCCUUUGUCCCAUUGAGAAGAGAUGAGUGUGACCCUGGGGCCACCUGAUGCGUGAGCACAGCCCUGCUCCCCACCCGCCGAUCUGCCCGGCACUGUCUGCUCCAUUGCUUCACGGAGCAGGGUCUGCGAUCGUCCCGACCUCUGACGGAGCUCCUCUGCUGUGUGGGAUGCACCCUGUGUUGCAGCACAUGAUCCCCAGAAGUGCAGCCCGUCAGCCACACCUGCACCGUGGGACCCACGAGUCCUGGCGCCCCCAACCUCGUGGUGCCAGCCCCAGGCAGGGGUGAGGCCGGGGGGCGUCUGUCCGGGCGGGGCGGCGGGAGAUCUGUUUGACGAGGGCACAGCCUGGCCCAUCCACGGUGCGACCACCAAGAGGGCUGACUUUCUCAAAAAGCUGUGAUUUAUGAGAAUUCAGAUUUCGGUGGUGAACUCUGCUCUUGUGGAUCCAGGGAUAGUGGGCUCACUUAUUUUUUUUUUCAAACGACAAAACCCGUUCUCUACUUUGAAGGGAUCCAGCCACCUGGUCCAAGGGAGCCGGUGAGCUGUUUUGAAUAAUUAAAAACACUCUGCGUGGUGUGAGCUGCCUGACCCCCUGGCUGUCUGCCUGUCCCCAGCGCCCCUUUUCUGACCAGGCCCGCAUGAGGACAGCGGCUCACCAAGCCCACGCGGACUUGCCUGCCCUCUGGGUUCCCUGGGUGGGUGGCUCACAAAGUCAGCUCUGUGCUCUGGAAACACCGCCGCUUCACUGAGGGGCUGAGGGGCUCCCUAAGGCAGCUGCUGGCCAUGCACCAGGCCUGCCAGGGAGGAGGGACGGGAGGCCGCGUGUGCAAGGCCCUGACCUUGAACCUCGGGUUUGGUCGGCUGUGACUGACCACUGUGGUUCAUGCCCGACACGGGCCUCCUGACGUGCCCUCCGGAAAUGGGACCCUGCUUCUGGGGAUGCCGCAGGGAGUGUGUGGGACUGGAUGCUUCGGUGAAGACAGCACCAGCCACAGGAAGGCUGACCUCCACAACCCCCAGGGUCUGCCUGAUGGCCAGGCCACCUCUAAAGCCAGCUGUCCCCUGAGACACGUGGGGUCUGCCGUGGGCGAGCGGCCUGCUCCCAGGGUCUCUCCAUGUGUCUGGAGCUGCUGCACCUUUGCAGAGGAAAGCCAUCCUCUAUACCAUCCCUGGCCAGCCCUUUCGAUAAAACUUUUACUGGGGUAAAUAUUUUAGGUUUUUCGAGCCAAGAGGCAACUUUGAGGAUAUUAUAUAACUGCUUAUAUAAGAUGAGAGAAAACAAAUGUCUACGAUUUUUUUAUUGACAAAAUUCAAAAUAUAAUCAUUGUGUACAAUAUUUUAUAAGAAGGUCUGCUAACGAGAAGAACAGAGUUCUUUUGUGGGAGGAUAACAUUUCACUUGAUGAGCUCACGGUCGGGGUUCUCUGUCACCAAAAUCGAUGGCACGUGUCCAUCUAUUUAUGCAGACCUGGGAUGAGAUUUCACAUAUUUGGCCUUUGAAAACGUCUUCUCACACAGUCACUGCCAAAUAUUGAUAUUAAUCCAUGAGCACAUGACUUUAAUUGAACAUAUUCAUUACUUGGAAUGCAUUUAUUGAAUUCAAUUAAGUUCUUCUCUUGAUUAUGCUUUUAUAUUGCAGAUUUAUCACUUCCUAUUGAAAUUGAGCGGAAGGCUCUCAGUUGCAUAGUUUAAUAGAUUUUUUAAAAAAUUAAUUCAUCAAUUAACUAAUUAAUUAAUUUUGGCUGUGUUGGGUCUUUGUUGCUGCACGCAGGCUUUCUCUACUUGUGGCGAGCGAGGGCUACUCUUCGUUGCAGUGCGCAGGCUUCUCUGCGGUGGCCUCUCUUGUUGCAGAGCAGGGGCUCUAAGCACGUGGGCUCCAGUAGCUGUGGCACAUGGGCUCAGCAUUUGUGGCACACGGUCCCUAGAGCACAGGCUCAGUAGUUGUGGCACACAGGGCUAGUUGCUCGCAGCACCGCAGCAUGUGGGAUCUUCCCGGACCAGGGCUCGAACCCGUGUCCCCUGCAUUGGCAGGCGGAUUCUUAACCACUGAGCCAACAAAGAAGCCCUAAUAGGUUUUUUAAAAGAAAAUUAUUUAAUGAAUAUUUUCAAACAUCACACAAAAAUAAAGAAAAUAAUAUAACAAACCAUAUUUAUCUAGAUUCUAAAUUGAUCAAAACUUUGCCAUGUUUCCUUCACUUAUCUUUUCCUUUCUUUUUCCUUUUCCUUUUCUUUUUAAAACAUUUGGGAGCAAAUCCCAAGCAUCAUGUCAUUUUAAUUCCUAUGUAUUUCAGUAUUCAUCUAUAAAAAAUAUGGCCCUUGUGUGGCUAUUCUUUUAAACCAGGAAUAACAGAAAUACUUUAAAUUAGAAAACAUAUUAUUUUCCUCUCUUGAUAUCAGUAAUGUGGAGAUUAAAGCAAGAUCACAGUAGUUAAGAAAUGAAUGAAGCUAUAUUUCCCUUGCAUAUCUGAGUGUAUAAAGAAUCAGUCCCGUUACCUUUAUAUGUCUUUUUAAAAAUAUUUUUUUAUUUUGAAAUAAUUAUAGAUUCACAGGAAGUUGCAUGGAAAUGUAGAGAUAUUUCCCGCACCCUUGAUCCAGCCUCCUCCGAUGCUAUCUUUAUGCAUAAAUACAGUACAACGUCAAACCCAGGAAGUCGUUGUGGGAACCAUCUGUGAAGCUUAUUCAGAUUUCAUUUGUUACAUACACACUUGCGUGUGGGUAUGUGUGUUUGGAUCUGUGCAAUUUGAUCAUGUGUGUAGCUUUGUGUAACCACCACCACAAUCAAGAUAUCAUCUUGUGUCAUCACUGCAAGGCUCUCUUGUGCUAUCCCAUGAUAGGCACAGCUACACGUCCAUUUCUAUCUCUAAUCCUUAGCGACCACCAUUCUCCCUCUCUGUAAUUAUUUCACAAAUUUUAUAUAAAUGGGUUCAUGCAAUAUGUAUUUUUUUGAGACUGGCUUUUUUUACUCAGCAUAAUGUCUUUGAGGUUCAUUCUAACUGAGUGGAUUAAUGGUUUGUUCUCUUUAUUGUGGAUCAGUAUCCCACAGUAUUGAUGUACUGCAGUUCAUUGAACCACUCAUCCAUUGAAGGAUAUUUGGAUAGUGUUGAGUUUUGGACUACUAUGAAUAAAGCUGCUAUGAUUAUUCACGUGCAAGUUUCUGUGUGAAAAUAAAUUUUCAUUGUUCUUGGAUACGUGCCCAAGAAUGCGCUUUGGGUCAUGUGGUAAUUUCACUUUUAAGUUCAAAAGGAACUGCCAACGUGUUUUCCAGAGUGGCCAUACCAUUUUACAUUCCCACCAACAAUGCAUCAGUGACCCAGGUUCUCUGUAUCUUUGCCAGCAUUUGAUGUUCACACCAUUUUUAUUGAGUCUUCUGAGAAGUAUGUAGUGAUAUCUCAUGUUUUUACUUUGCAUUUCUCUAGUGGUUAAUGGUGAUGAAAAACUUUUCAUGGGCCUAUUCACCAUCUGUA